UACGUAGGUGGCAAGCGUUGUUCGGAAUUACUGGGCGUAAAGCGCGCGUAGGCGGCUCUUCAAGUCAGGCGUGAAAGCCCCGGGCUUAACUCGGGAACUGCGCUGGAUACUGGCGGGCUAGAGUGUGGAAGGGGCGACUGGAAUUCCGGGUGUAGCGGUGAAAUGCGUAGAUAUAUGGAGGAACACCGGUGGCGAAGGCGG
rnacentral:rRNA from 1 species